rnacentral:rRNA from 1 species
CCCUUAGAUGUUCUGGGCAGCACGCGCGCUACAGUGGUCUUCGCAAACGGAUGCAUUCUCGAAGGAGAAUGCCAAUCUUGGAAUCUAUGCCUUGGUCGGGACAGUUGCUUGCAAUUUUUCGACUCGAACCAGGAAUUCCUUGUAAUCGUGAUUCAUCACAUCACGAUGAAUACGUCCCCGCCCUUUGUACACACCGCCCGUCGCUCCUACCGAUCGAAGAGUUAGGUGAAUUGUUUUGAUCGAUAAGAUUUGACUAUGGUCAACUCUCGUUGUGAAAUUCUGUGAAUCUGACUGUUUAGAGGAAGGAAAAGUCGUAACA